GGCCCGCUCCGCGCGCCAUGGCGCUGGCGGCGGCCGGCGCCGCGCAGCUGGUGCGCUGCGGGCAGAAGGACGAGCUGUACCGGAGCGGGCUGCGGAGCGGCGCCGGCGCCGCGCUGCACGGGCUCGCGGGUGCUAAGAGGUGGCUGGAAUGGAGGAAAGAGAUUGAACUGCUUUCUGACAUAGCCUACUUCAGCCUCACCACUUUGUCAGGUUAUCAGACUCUGGGUGAAGAGUAUGUUAACAUUGUUCAAGUUGACUCAACCAAGAAAAGGGUGCCUUCUUUUCUUCGACGGGCCAUCUUGAUUUAUCUUCAUACUGUAGUACCUUAUUGUUUAGAAAAAGGAUUACUGCAUCUGGAACAUGAGUUGGAUAUAGAAGCAGAUGAGUCUAGAACCCAGCAGAGCAACCCAGCACACAGCUUAUUGGAUAGGAACUUAGUACGAAACUGGAUACAGAAACAAGUUGGGGAACUGCCAGAACAGCAGAAGAAAACAGUCUUACAAAUUGUGUACGUUAUUAAACAAUGCAUUCCUUUGCUCCGACGACUACAUCUGGCAAUAUUCUAUAUAAAUGGCACUUUUUAUCACCUGUCUAAGAGGAUCACAGGAAUCACAUAUCUGUAUUUUGGAGGAUUGCAAAGAGAAGAUCAGAGCAUUCGAUCAAGUUACAAGUUUCUUGGAAUAACGUCACUCUUUCAUCUUCUUCUAACGAUUGGUGUUCAGACAUACAGCUUCAAACAGAAGCAGAGAGCAAGGCAGGAAUGGAAACUACACCGCAAUCUAACUCAGAAAAAUGUGACGGAGGAAAAGAUGACUGGGCGCCGCUCCCGCUGCACUUUGUGUUUGGAAGAACGGAGACAUGCAACAGCCACGCCUUGUGGCCACCUAUUCUGCUGGGAAUGCAUAACAGAAUGGUGUAAUACCAAAGCAGAAUGUCCACUGUGCAGAGAGAAGUUUCAUCCUCAGAAACUGAUCUACCUACGUCAUUAUCAACAGUAAAGCAAAAGCUUUUCUGUUUCAUGACAAGAGCUUCAGCUCUCUUUUACAAAGUGGCCAUACAGCUUGAGUUAGUCCAAGAACAAGGUUUUAUUAUAAAACUGGUAACUGCCUGUACAAGGAUUACUGAAGGCUGAAUCAGAGGGCUCCAUAAUGACUUCAUUCGACAAAGUCAAUUGAAAUGGCUCUUAAAUAUAUUUUCUAAUUAGCUGUCUGUUGAAGCUGCCACUAUUCUCCUUUCAGAAUCUUGAAAAGGCCAAUCUUUUCUUAUCUUCUGCAAAUAUAACAUGAAUGCUCUCCAAAGAGCUAAGAACAUGAAGACAAAUUCUAAGGGUAAUCAUAAUUGAAGAGGAUAUAUAACCACCACUGGAUUAUUAUAUGUAUAAAAAAAAUAAAGGACAAGAAAGGGGGACACUAUCUUUUAAUAAAUUUUGGAAUUAAAAAUCACUUAAUAAAACUGCUGUUGUAUCACAUCAAAAA